rnacentral:tRNA from 1 species
GGGGAUUUAGCUCAGCGGCAUAAGCUGAGCGCCUGCCUUGCAAGCAGGCAGUCAUGAGUUUGAUCCCCA